CAGCGUUGAUCGAGGUUACCUUACUAAAGCAGAUUCUGAAACGAUGAGCAAUCAGGGCAACACAUCCACCGACGGACCUCAUGUCCGCCUGGUUGAGAUCAGUAUGGAUGAUUCAAAUUCAAUAAAAUCAUCAAGCUAUCAGUAUUCUUUUGAGAAGUCUGUUGUAAGAGGUGGAGUAUGUGAAUCAAGUGAUAGUAUACACUGCUCUCAUACAAACGGGGAUGCCCACAGUACCAAAUCAUUUAUCCAGUCAAGAAUUGAACGACUCUAUGGACCAAGUGCCCUAGCAGCUGGUUUCCGUAGUCGAAGGUCUUUGUUGGAAUUGGAAAAAGAAAGACAACACAAUCUGGUGGUGGACUUAAGAAUAUGGUGUUAACUUCCCAUUCAGAGAAUAACUUUGAACCAGAGGAUAAAGCACCAGAUGGUUUUCCUAGUGUAUUUAGACAUUUACGGCCAGAGUUUAGAACUCAGUUGCCAGUGAAACGAAAUAGCAGACUGAGACUGGAUACUUCCUUAGAAAUACCAAGUAUAAAUACAUCACUAAAGAUUGAAUCCCUUAGUAACAGACCUGGAAGAGUAAUUCCUAUCACUAUAGAAGGUGAAGAACCAAUUCCACCAGUCCCAUUACCACAAACGGAUACUUUAACAAGAAAGGAUGCUAGUCACACCUCUAAUAAAGACACACAGAAAGUGGAACCGAAGAUUUUGGAGAAUGGUGAUACAGAAAAAACAAAGCCUCAGUUGAGCAAUGGCCCUUGUGUAAAUGGUAGUGCAGUUAAAGAAACCGAUAGUGUUAAAGAAGAUGACUUAGUGAAAAGAACUAACAAAGUGAAUGGUGUUGCGGAACCAUGUGAAGUGAUUAAAACAUCGAGCAGUCCUGCAAAAUUGGAAAAAGAUGGCCAUUACUUCUUGAAGGUAGUAGAGGAGGUUGUCAGCAGUAUUGAAGCUGAAGUUCUAAAUACUGAACAAGAGUUAGAACUGCAUGGGUCGGAGAUGACAGAAGAGAUUCGUGGAAAGGUGCUAGCAGCUAUUGGUAAAGCUCGACUCUUAGUCUCUCAGAAAAUUCAGCAGUUCAGAGGGCUGUGUCACAAAAAUAUUGCUGGUUCAGAAGGAGAAGAAUUUCCAACUACCAGUGAAGACUUGGCAGGCUUCUGGGACAUGGUGUCAAUUCAGGUUGAUGACAUCAAGAACUCCCUCCAAGAGAUAGCUAAAUUAAAGGCUAAUGGGUGGAAGGAGUUGUCAUGGGCAGACACUGUGGAUGGAUCUGGUAAGAAUGUUAUGACAGGCCAGGCACAAAAGAAGCCUGCUCCAAGACCAGCAAGAGCAGCCAAGUCUACUAAAAGUGGUGCAAAAACAGAAGAGGGAAAAGCCAGAGAUGAAGCAAGGAAAAAGAUGAUGGAGGAGAGAAGAAGAGCCAUGAAGGAAGCCAUGAAAGCUAAAAAGGCAGAGGCUGAAGCAAAGAAAGCAAGUGAUGGAGAUACUGUGGAGAUAUUCAUCCCAGAAGACAAGUAGAGGGAGGGUAUUGUGGGGCUCCCAGUGUUAAGUCUUGUUAGCAAAAGAUAUAUUUAUAUAUAUAUAAAGAACUUUUGAAAAUUGAUUCCAUCGCAGUUGAUGAAAUGGAAUGGUGAUAUUAAAGACAUGAUAUAACUUCUGCUUUAAUGGCUUUAAAACUAACUGACAAAUCUUGCAAGAUAAUGUAACUGAAGAUGAGAUUGUGUACUAAUUAGGUGAUGGGUCCAGGAGGAACAUGGACAAAUCUAUCUUUGUUAUAAAGAUCAAGCUUGAAAUGGUUCUUUUGAUGAUUGUGAUGCAUUGGGCUAUUAAGAUGUAGUAGGUGUAUAGCACUGAAAUCAUUAUAAAAAGAAAUUUGCUAAUGCAAAAGAAUAACCCUGAAACUGCUAAUAACCUUAGCUGUUGUUGUAGCAGAUAUUUCUCUUAAUUUUAUAAAAUUAUAACUUCAUAAGUAGAUAAGGUACAAUUUCUUUUUGGUACUUGAUUUUUACACAAAUGCUUGUUGGCUGAGUGUACCUGAAUUUGUUUUUAGUUUGAGGGAUUAUACAUAGGGAACCUGAUUUUUUUUAUAUGUUUAAUUAUGUGCUCUAUUUAGGACAAGUAGUACCCCCAGUUUAAAAAAAACUUGUCUGCAUGGAUAUACAGGAGGGUUUCAGAUGUAAAGUAUCAGGAUGUUACCUAGUUUUAAGAAAACAUUUAUCUUUUUGUGCAACUGGACUGUUAUUUAAUUAUACUAGCUGCUGAGUAUGCAUAGAACUGCAAUGAAAACCAAAAUAUUUUUAAAUUCUAGCAAAUAUAGACAUUGCAUGCCUUUUCAACAAGUAAUCAUCAUUGAAGGAAGUUCCAUUCUAUACAUAGUUAAGAGUUUUCCAGCUUUUAUACAUGAGUACAGCUCACAGGUUACUAGGUGUUAUAUUUAGGUUAUUUGGAAUUGCAUCUGCUUAUUGGUUGAAAUUCUUCAAGAGCAGCAUCCAAGCUCAGAAGUUUUGCAUACACAUUGAAAGUAAUGACUAUCAAUGAUGCACAUGUGUCAAAGACUUAGAAAGCUGCAAAAAAGAUAAUAGAAAUGUCCAAAUUUGUCACUGUAGUCUUAAUCUGGACCUUAUCAUUCAAGUCAUUUCCUUUUUUAUACUGUUUUCUUUUUAUUUGUCACCACCUUUAGUUUGUGUCUUUUGUUUGCAUUAGUACUUACACAAAUAAUUCUUGUCAAGGUACUUGUAUUUCCAUACCCACAAAAGUGUACAUGCAUUAUGUUGAGACACUUCCUUUUCUGGUUAUCACUGCUUAGAAUGAUAGGCAUUUACAGUUUACCUCCUAGGUAUUGCUGCUAGCAGAAAUUUUUUUCAAUUCUUUCAGUUAGUGCACUUCAGUAUCCCUUUUUUUUGUCAUUUGCCAUUCCUUCAGGCAACACACUUGGAUCUGCAAGAACUGUGUAAAUGCCAUUCAUACGUCUUGCUCUUUUGAUUCAGCACCUGUCAUCUGUAUUGUCCCUGCUUCCAUUGGCAACAACUUGUAUAUGUUUACAAUGCACCUUUUAAAUUUGGUUGCACAAUCGAUCUGUUAAUGAAACAUCACUGAUAUCGAUUGUGGUUAUUGUGUAUGGCAUUUUGGCUAUGUUGAAGUCACAAGGCAUUUUUAUAAUGUUUUCUAACAUUGCCAGCCCUCAUUUUCUAUAAUCAACUUUAAAGUAGUUAUGGUAGUUGUAGUUUUUUUAUUUAUUCAUUCAUGUAUUAUUAUAGUGUAUAUUUGUUUCAACAAAUUACUUCAUUGUAAUUUUUAUAGGGUGGUUUAAAUAUUGUGUUUAGUAUAAUUUAACAUGACUUCUUUUACAGACUUGAUUUACCGUUUGGUCAUAAGAUUAAUGUGGAGAGUUGGGGAAAAAAUGGCAAGAAUAAUGUCAAAAGUAUUCAUUGUUUGAGCAACAAAGUAUGCCAUUUAACCAAAAAAGAAAAAAGAAAAAAAAAUGCAAUCUAUAACUUUUUGUGGUGUCAGUUAAUGCUAAAAUAAUAUUGAUAUGGAAGAUUUAGACAAAUUUCACUGCAAAGCCUCUCUGGCUGAUAAUGAAACUGAAAAUAUUGCUAUUUGCAUUUAUGAUGCGAGUUUCAGCAAAGGAUUUUUUUCCUUUUCAGCCAGCACUUUGAUUUGUGUAACUGCACCCUGUUGGUUAGGUGGGCAAUAUAUAAGUAGUUUCAUAUUUAGGUAUGUCUUUAGGUAUUCAGCACAAAUGUUUAAAAUUGGGAUUUUAAAAUGUACUUAUUGUAUUAUUUGAGUUUGCUCUUUGUUAUUAUUAUUAUUAUAAUGUGAUUAUUAUUACCAUUAUUAUAUUAUCAUUAUUAUGAUGUUAGUGAUUUGAGUAAGAAUAUUAUUAUCAUCAUCAUUAUUAUUAUUAUUCAAAAUUUUAUUGGUCUCUUCAUUUAUAUUAAUUGUCAUCAGCAUCCAUCAUAUCAUCAUCAUAAUUGUUACUGUUGUCAUCAUCACUACAGCUACUAUUAAUAUUACUUGUAGUAUUACUGAUAUAGCUGGUAUUUUUAGUAAACCACUUUAUUCUAUUGUAAGUGUCACAAUCAUCAUCAUUACAAUAAACAAGGUAAAGAUGAUUAUUAUUCUAUUGAUAAUAAUUAGCAUUAAAAUGAGGGUAAUAAGAAUAUAUGAUAAUAAUAAUGCUGAUAAUAGUAAAGUAAUAAUAAUCAUGGUCAUAAAAAUAUUAAUUAGGAACAUAAAGAAUAAUAAUAAGGAACAGCAAUUAGUCUCACUAUUGGUACUUUCCCCGUUUUUUAUAUUGCCCAGUUUCAGGGGUACAUUAUGGUAUGUGAUGUCUUCUCUGCCAAAAGCAUCUUGUAUUAUCAUUGUUAUAAAUAUUCAUACAUGGUUUUCUACUUGAAAGGGAAAAAAUAUAUUAAUUUAGUUUUAGAGGCCACACUAUAAAAUGUGUGUUUAGUAGUGUUUAUCAUCUGUCAUAUUAUUUCAUUGUUGUUAACGGUAAAUUUUGAGAUGGGUAUUUUUAUGAUGUCAAAAAUGUGCCUUGUAUCAUCUUCCUAGGAAAUUUUGCUUCAAUGAAUGUUUAUUUCCAAUUAGCAUUAACAUUUUUCAUUUUGUUCUGCCUUUAGGUAAAUGACUUUAUUAAUAUGAUUUAACUUCAUACUAUUAAUUAGGCAGCUGUUGAUAUUUAUCUAAACUUUUAUACAGAAUCUUAACAGUUUAUUAAUCUAAUGGAAGGUAUGUUGAGCCUGACAGACUGGCCAAAGGAAUGUCAGAAAAUAAAUCUAUUAUCCAGA